AACAUAUUCACCUUAACACUUUCCCCUUGUCUAUUUGCAUCUCUCAUGCUAAGGGAGAUUCUAUCAUAUUUCCUUAUUUUUGCUUUGCAAAUUUGUCGCAUGUAUAUGCUGUUAGCACCCAAAGUCUCUGUGGAAUAAGCUGAGAUAUAAGCACAUACAUAGAUACUUAAGCGAUAAAUAUGUGUAAUGUAUAGGUUGAUACUUAUCUGUCUACAUAUGUAUGAAUUUAAUUUAUACACCAAAUGGAGAAGAUGGCUGAACCUGAGGGCUUCACAUCAGUAUCAAAAUUUUCUACUGGAAAAGUAAAACCAUAAAGCUGUUACAUAAAUUAUUUAUAUCAUUCAAAGAGAUUGAAAAGAAAUGCCUCCCUUACUUUGGUGGUGUAUUAAUACAACUAUAGUUUUUUUUGAUUGGUUUGGUUUUGGUUUUGAUUUUUAGGGCCACACCUGUGGCAUAUGGAAGUUCCCAGGCUAGGGGUUGAGUCGGAGCUGUAGCCACCCGCCUACGCCACAGACACAGCAAUGUGGGAUCCGAGCCAUGUCUGCGACCUACACCACAGCUCACGGCCAUGCCUGAUCCUUAACCCACUGAGCAAGGCCAGGGAUCGAACCCGCAACCUCAUGGUUCUUAGUCGGAUUCGUUAACCACUGAGCCACGACGGGAACUCCAAAAAUUAUUUUUAAAAUAAAUAAACAAGUGGGACUACAUCAAACUAAAAUCCUUCUGUAUAGUAAAGGAAACAAUCAGCAAAAUAAAAAGAUAGCCUAUGAAAUAGGAGAAAACCUUUACAUACUAUGUUUCUGAUAAAGGGUUAGUAUUUAAAAUAUUUAAGAAACAAAUACAGCUCAAUAGUAAAAAAACAAAAUAACUUGCUAUUAAAAAUGGGAAAAAGACUGAAUAUAUAUGUUUCCAAAGAAGAAUACAAAUGGCCAACAGGUAUAUGAAAAUGUGUUCAAUAUUGCCAAUCAUCAGGAAAAUAUAAAUCUAAACCACAAUGAGAUAUGACCUUACACCUGUUAAGACAGCUGUUAUCAUUAAGACAAGACAUAAAUAUUGGUGGUGAUGUGGAGAAAAGGAGAAGCUUGUAUACUAUUGGUGAAAGUGUAAACUGCUACAUUCAUUAUGAAAAAUUGGCUAGAGACGUCUCAGAAAGUUAAGAAUCGAACUAUCAUAAGAUCCUACCACUUGAAUUCUGCAUACAUAUCUGAAGUAAAUGAAACCAUUACGUCAAAGAGAUAGCUGCACUUCUAUGUUUGUUGUGUUCUUAUUCAUAAUAGCCAAGACAUGGACACAAACUAAAUGUGUCAAAAGAUGAAUGGACAAAGAAAAUAUGGUAUAUGCAUACAAUGGAAUAUUAUUCAGCCAUAAAAGGAAGAAAAUCCUACCAUUUGUGACAAUAUGGAUGAAGGUAUUAUGCUAAAUAAAAUGAGCUAGACACAAAAGGAUAAGUACUCUAUUAUCUUAUAUGUGGGAUCUAGAAAAGUUGAGCUCAUUGAACUAAAGAAUAGAAAGGUGGUUACCAAGGCCACGGGUGGGAAAAAUAGGGAAAUGUUGCUCAAAGUAUAUGAAUUUCAAGUUAUCAGAUGAAUAAGUUCUGAGGACCUGAUGUACAGCAUAGAAAUUGUAAUUAGUAAUACUAUAUUCUAGACCUGAAAUUUGCUGAGAGUAAAUCUUAAGUGUUCACAUCACACACACAAAAAAAAAAGUUUAAAAAUUGUGGCAUGUAAGGUUAUGGAUAAAUUCAUUAGCUUGAUUGUGUUAAUCACUUCACAAUGUAUAUGCAUAUUAAAUCAUUGUGCUGUAUGCCUUAAAAUAAAGCACAUUGUACAAUCUAAAUAUAUAUAAUUUCUAUUUUCCAGUCCACAAAUAACAAAUGCUGGAGAGGGUGUGGAGAAAAGGGAAUCUUCCUGCGUUGUUGGUAGGAAUGUAAAUUGAUACAAGCACUAUGGAAAAUAGUAUGGAGGUACCUCAGAAAACUAUAUAUAGAACUACCAUAUGACCCAGCAAUCCCACUCCUGGGCAUAUAUCCAGACAAAACUUUCCUUGGAAAAGACACAUGCACCCAUAUGUUCACUGCAACACUAUUCACAAUAGCCAAGACAUUGAAAAAACCUAAACGUCCAUUGGCAGAUGAAUGGAUCAAGAAGAUGUGGUAUAUAUACAUAAUGGAAUAAUACUCAGCCAUAAAAAAGAACAAAAUAAUGCCAUUUGCAGCAACAUGAUGGAACUAGAGACACAUACUCAGUGAAGCAAGUCAGAAAGAAAAAGACAAAUGCCAUAUGACAUCACUUAUAUCUGGAAUCUAAUAUAUAGCACAAAUGAACCUUUCCACAGAAAAGAAAAUCAUGGACUUGGAGAAUAGACUUGUGGUUGCCAAGGGGAAGGAGGAGGGAGUGGGUUGGACUGGGAAUUUGGGGUUAAUAGAUAUAAAUUAUUGCUUUUGGAAUGGAUAAGCAAUGAGAUCUUGCUGUAUAACACUGGGAACUAUAUCUGGUCACUUAUGAUGGAGCAUGAUAAUGGGAGAAAGAAUAUAUAUGUAUGUUACUAGGUCACCUUGCUGUACAGAAGAAAAUAGAACGCUGUAAACCAGCUAUGAUGGAAAAAAAAUAAAAAUCCUAAAAAAAUUUUUAUUUGCCAAUCAUAAUAAAGCUGGAAUCAAAAAGAGAAGUUUGUCAUCUGAAAGGUGCUGCCAAAAAAAAAAUAUAGCUAGAAAGGCAGAGAAAAUCAUGAAACAAGCAAAUCACUCUAUUUGCACAGGACUUUUUUUCCAUGGUAGAGUCAUUCUAAAGAGAUGCACUGGGGUUUUAGCAUGGAAAUCCUAUAAAAUUGGAUUGGGAUGAUCAUUGUACAACUAUAAAUGUAAUAAAUUCAUUGAGUAAUUAAAAAAUAAAUAAAAUUUAAAAAAAGAGUUACUAUGUAUUGAAUGCCUAUGUCAUACUAAGCACUUUA
rnacentral:lncRNA from 1 species